CUGCAGUGAUGAGCUUCCACUUCGGUCCGUGUUUCUGAAUCCUGAUACCCAACAGAAGUUCUGAGUUU
rnacentral:snoRNA from 1 species